rnacentral:rRNA from 1 species
AUUGAACGCUGGCGGCAUGCUUUACACAUGCAAGUCGAACGGCAGCGGGGGCUUCGGCCCGCCGGCGAGUGGCGAACGGGUGAGUAAUGCAUCGGAACGUGCCCAGUCGUGGGGGAUAACACAUCGAAAGAUGUGCUAAUACCGCAUACGUCCUGAGGGAGAAAGCGGGGGAUCUUCGGACCUCGCGCGAUUGGAGCGGCCGAUGUCGGAUUAGCUAGUUGGUGGGGUAAAAGCCCACCAAGGCGACGAUCCGUAGCGGGUCUGAGAGGAUGAUCCGCCACACUGGGACUGAGACACGGCCCAGACUCCUACGGGAGGCAGCAGUGAGGAAUAUUGGUCAAUGGACGCAAGUCUGAACCAGCCACGUCGCGUGAAGGAAGACGGCCCUACGGGUUGUAAACUUCUUUUAUACGGGAAUAAAGUGCCCCACGCGUGGGGUUUUGCAUGUACCGUAUGAAUAAGGAUCGGCUAACUCCGUGCCAGCAGCCGCGGUAA